rnacentral:misc_RNA from 1 species
UGGCUCUCGCAACGAUGAAGAACGCAGCGAAAUGCGAUACGUAGUGUGAAUUGCAGAAUUCCGUGAAUCAUCGAAUCUUUGAACGCAACUUGCACUCUGUUCUGCAGAGUAUGCCUGUUUGAGAAUCUAUAGUAUUAUUCAACGGUAGUUGAGAUUUGGGCCGUGUUGAUAAACUGGCCUUAAAGCUAUAGCUCUGGGCGGCCGGCAUGGUGACGUUCUGAACCAGGGAGAUGAAGGGUUCGCCCACUUCCCCUGGGCCUCAUGAACUAGUGCAGGUUGUCUGAGACCCACUUUAUAUUUUUAAUCUUGGUCUCAAAUCAGGUAGGAAGACCCGCUGA